ensembl:lincRNA H19 H19, imprinted maternally expressed transcript
CUUUGCAGAACACCAUGGGCUGGCGCCUUGUCGUAGAAGCCGUCUGUUCUUUCACUUUUCCCAAAGAGCUAACACUUCUCUGCUGCUCUCUGGAUCCUCCUCCCCCUACCUUGAACCCUCAAGAUGAAAGGUGAGUUCUCUUCUGCCCCAUGUGGGUGGGAGAGGGUGGGAUGCCAAGGACAGGGGUCUCAUUCUCUCCCACCCAUAGAAAUGGUGCUACCCAGCUCAUGUCUGGGCCUUUGAAUCCGGGGACUUCUUUAAGUCCGUCUCGUUCUGAAUCAAGAAGAUGCUGCAAUCAGAACCACUACACUACCUGCCUCAGGAAUCUGCUCCAAGGUGAAGCUGAAAGAACAGAUGGUGUCAACAUUUUGAAAGAGCAGACUCAUAGCACCCACCCACCCCUGAGAAUCCAUCUUCAUGGCCAACUCUGCCUGACCCGGGAGACCACCACCCACAUCAUCCUGGAGCCAAGCCUCUACCCCGGGAUGACUUCAUCAUCUCCCUCCUGUCUUUUUCUUCUUCCUCCUUUCCUGUAAUUCUGUUUCUUUCCUUUUGUUCCUUCCUUGCUUGAGAGACUCAAAGCACCCGUGACUCUGUUUCCCCAUUUACCCCCUUUUGAAUUUGCACUAAGUCGAUUGCACUGGUUUGGAGUCCCGGAGAUAGCUUUGAGUCUCUCCGUAUGAAUGUAUACAGCGAGUGUGUAAACCUCUUUGGCAAUGCUGCCCCAGUACCCACCUGUCGUCCAUCUCCGUCUGAGGGCAACUGGGUGUGGCCGUGUGCUUGAGGCCUCGCCUUCCCCUCGCCUAGUCUGGAAGCA